ensembl:lncRNA
UAUUGUGUCACCAACAUUUUAACGUUAGACAUAUCAUUUUAACAGCCUCUGUAAACUAAUAUCCUGGCUGCUCGAGGCUCCGUUUUCUCUGACAGUUUCAAUCAAAAUUAGAAAUGCUGCUCUGAGACUGAGAGAACUAAUAGUGCCGCCUGUUGUGCAGUUAGUUUCCAAAACACGUUAUUCAUGGUUACAUACAAUUUUAGACUGAUGUGGGCCAAAGCCUAGCAUAGCCUGUAACGUUAUUAUGACACAUUUUAUGAGUGAACUUGGCUUUAAGUGACUUACAGGUUUCUUUGAAAAAUACUUUCUUAUAUCCAGGUUCUUCCUUUUUGCUGCCGUCCUCCUCUCCUCCUGGCAGCGCAGGUUUGCUGCAGAGCUCCCUGAAAGGCACAGCCAAUCACAUUGCCAUAUUUGUCACAUGACGUAGGACUCCAGUAGAGAACGUAAUUGAACUCUUUCUGCACCGCUGGGUGAAUGAGAUGUCGACAGAUCGUUUUUUUUUCUUUCUAUUGGGUUUGUUUUUCUUUACUCGAAGCGAUCAAAUUAUUGGUGGGGACAAUUCAAUAAUCGCUGAAUAUUGGUGGUCCAUGCCAAAUCUACGCCCUUGCAUGAUUUGAAUCCUGGGUUGAGCGAAAUCCAAGAAAUAAAGACAAAGCGAAUCUGUGAACUAAGGUGUAGGAAAGAAAAGUUCAAAGCCAUCAGGUGCUCAGUUUAGAAAAAAGAGAAAAGAAGAGGAGGAGAAACGAGCAACAGAUACAGAUGGAGUGUUCACCCAGGGCGCCAAACAGGCUAGGACCGCCACUGUGCAUGACUAUUGCCUUCGGCGUGAGCUACAUACGUGGCGAACUUGGUCACCAGCAUUCAUGCUUCAUUUUAACCUUUUACCAAUUUGCAAAGAUCACAGAGGGAAUCAUGACGUCACACGGCUGUUUUCUCUGCCUGUUGCUUUUUAGUGUAAUCCCGAUCGAGCCAUCAGAAGCAGGUUGUAUGGACCACUUCACAAAAAAAGGAUUGGCAAACGCAUCAAGUGAGCUGCCAGAGAAUAUUACCGUCAAAAUAAUGAACAAGUCUGAGGACAUCAUUGUAUGUAGUUUAACGGAAGCCAAAGACUGUGCUAACAGCAAAACAGAAAAUACCUGCUUUCUACGGGACUGUUUUAAGGACGAGAAUAACAUGGGCUAUAAACCGCCAUGUAACGAGGCGGAUGAGAACAUCAGUGUCCCUUUCUACCACUUCAUGUGCUUGACAAAUAUAGCCAAGGGUCUACGAGAUAAAACAAAACCACCUGAAGUCUGUGAAGUGUACAAAAAAGUCUGUGGGGAAGAUUCUGCCACCCCAGCACCACCAAAACCUUCACCGACAACACCAACCAUUGAAGCAACACCAUCAACAGCACCAGCCAUUGAAGCAACACCAUCAACAGCACCAGCCAUUGAAGCAACACCAUCAACAGCACCAACCAUUGAAGCAACACCAUCAACACCACUGCCAACAACACCAACCACUAAAGCAACACCACCAACAGGACCAGCCAUCGACGCAACAUCAUCAACAGCACCAACCACUAAAGCAACACCACCAACAGGACCAGCCAUCGACGCAACAUCAUCAACAGCACCAGCCAUCGAAGCAACACCAACCAUUGAAGUAACAACAAAAAACCCAAGCACAGCAUCAACAACAAAAACAACAGCACCAUCAACGACAUCGUCAACAACAAGUACAACAGCAGCAUCAUUCCUGGUGAAUUCACGUUCAGAAAAAGAAACGGGAAGUGACAUCCAAAAGAUUUUAAUAGGAGUUCUUAUCAUGACGAACAUCAUUGUCCCCAUGGCAAUUUAUCUGUACAUGCGUAACCAGAUUCAGCAGAUUCCAAACUUGAGGGAAGAAGUAAGAAUGACAGAGAUGCAGGUAUUUUUGUAGAAUGUGGAUGCUAACUCACUGUAACUGAAGCACAGAGGAUUAGGAUACAACUAAACUUGCAGUUAUUUGAUAGUCUUACUUAGAUAUUACAUUUCAUUAAUAAGAACAACAGAAGUGAUUUAUCUGUUUCUUAACAUUGGUAGAGAGUCAACUUUGUGUUAAACCCUGCUCUGCGUGUUUUUGCUUUAACAGUAUUAUUUUCUUCUCUUUUUAGCAAAACACAUUUCCCAGGGAUGUUGAAGAGGGUCCCAUUUUAUUAACGGUAAUUUUUACUGUACUACUACUUUCAUAAACGGUGCCUGUAAAAGACUUAAUGUUUCAAACACGUGGUUUCCUUGACUGAUGAGACCAGACAAGACCCGAAUGGAAACACAGCCUUGACUGAUUUGAUAUUUGUUCCCACUAAGUGUGCUUUUUUUUUUUUUUUUUUGUCAGCAGAGGUCCAGCUGUAACUACAAAAAUCUAUUUUUCCAACAACUGUAGACGCCCGAGAGUUCCAUCAUCAUAAAUUCACCUGAAAACACCAUAAUUUAAAGCCCUUGCCCAAAUAGAACACACCAUUAGAAGUUCUGAGCUGCUGAGAAUCUGGAUAAAUCUGGAUACGAGGAUCUGCCUUACACAGAUCUGGACUUACACAGUCCAGGUGAAGUAAAGGUGGUCUGUGAAGGCCUCUGCGCCCAAAGGUGGAUAAGCUUCCAAUGUGAAGAAGAGUGGGACCAAACAAGCCGCAGCAUGCCUGUUCAUGUAACUGCUCUGCAGUCGCACAUCAAGAUUGUUUUCUGUCCGCCUCAUGCAAAAUGUUUUACUGCUGUGCUGGUUUUAAGUGACCAAAGUCUUACCAGAAGAAGUGCACUGCAGAAAAUCUGUUUUAACACGAACAAUAACGAGUUGGUUUUUUGUCAUAUUUAGAAUAAUUUUAAACACAAAGACACAGAUUAUGCAUGUAGUCAGUAAACAUAUAUAUGUGUGUGUCUCUGUGUGUUCAAGUGUUCCACUGUGCAGACUACUAUAUUUAGUGCGACUGCAAAAGAAAAAAGUUACGUUUUUAUGGCUAAUGGACUAAUUGCCUCUGUUCAUGUGUGCAUAUUUGGGGAAAGGUUUGGUGGCUUUUUUUCUAUUCCUUGUAUGUAUUAAGUAUGUUGUGAUAAAGCUUCAGCUGAAAAGCUAAAAGUGCCUAAAAAAAAUUAAAUAUUAUUAUUUUUUUUAUUGCACAAUGCACAUUAAGCGAAGCCACCAUAAAAAAUUGAACUUUUACCUUUUUCUAAGCCAGCUGUGCUAGCUUUACCCCUAAAAUGUGAUCUUAUCUGUUAACAGUUGUUCUAGAUAAGUUCUCACUGUACAGUCCUCAUACAUCCAUCGAAUGUGUUUGUGUUUCAUGGAAGUAUAAAUAGAAAAUUACCUACCGCAAUGCUUUUAUUAUUUUCAUAAAUCACUGCAAAAACAAAGAGAUGUGAAAAAAGCGGUCUCUGCACGUUUUCAUUUUCAUACUGUCACGUUAUUUCACUCUUAUAUAUGGUAAAUGGUCUGUAUUUGUAUAGCGCUUUACUUGGUCCACUCUUGUGUAUGUGUAAUUAUCCCACAUAUCUGUCCCUCACAUAUGGAAGACUGUAGACAUUGUUCUGUGUUUUCAGUUUUUGGCUUUUGAUGCAUUUGUGGAAUAUAUUUUAGUUUUUGUUUAUGUAAAAAUUUUUAUUUUUAUAUAUUUUUUAAGCCAACCACUUUAUUUAUUGUGUUUGUAAUAGAGACUGAGUAGGAGUUUUUUUGUUUUGUUUUUGAAUGUGUAGAUGUGAGUUUAGACAAGCAUCUAUGAUUCCCAUACAUACUCCUUGGUGUGGAACAAAAAUGUCCAGACUGAAAAGAGAAAAAUGUAAGCAGAUAAUAGAACGGACCCGGUGAACAUAUCUGAGCACAGGAGCCAGACUUGUAAAGUGUAUAAAAAGCUAUAUUUAAAACCAAGUAAUAAAUAAGAAAUGAAUAAAAAAGAAAAAUCAAACAAAAACAUUUCUUUAAUUGAAACAGUCACAUUAAGGAUUCAUCUACACCAGGGGUCCCCAAACCCCGUCCACAAGGGCCGGUGUCCCUGCAGGUUUUAAUAAUAAUAAUAAUAAUAAUGGAUUGGAUUUAUAUAACGCUUUUCAAGGCACCCAAAGCGCUUUACAAUGCCACUAUUCAUUCAUUCGCGCAUUCACACACUGGUGGAGGCAGCUACGGUUGUAGCCACAGCUGCCCUGGGGCAGACUGACAGAAGCGAGGCUGCCAUAUCGCGCCAUCGGCCCCUCUGGCCAACACCAGUAGGUGGCAGGUGAAGGACACAACGACCAGGACAGAGAGCCCGGGGAUCGAACUGGCGACCUUCCGGUUACAGAUGUGCUUCCCAAACCCCUGAGUUUUAGAUCUCACCCUGGGUCAACACACCUGAAUCACGUGAUUAGUUCAUUACCAGGCCUCUGGAGAACUUCAGGACAUGUUGGCUGUAUCCCAAUUCAGGGUCUGCAGCCUUAAAGUACGCAGCCUUGACGGUCCACACGGGCCGCGUACUCAAAGACUGCUAAGGCUGGAAGUGCGAGGCUUCUGAAAUGGGACGGUCUAGCCUCCGUUGCGCUGCCCAGGUUGCCUAGCAACCAUGACACUAACUGCUGGAAACGUUUCAUACAGCUUUGUUUGACAGAAAUAAAGGAGAAAAUCUUUUGUUCAUUUGUU